rfam:Pteropus vampyrus cont1.149293, whole genome shotgun sequence.
UUACUUCAUUGUUGUGAGCUUGUUGGCUCUACCUGCCCAUCUUCUUGGCAAACGCCCAUCUAACUUCUAUUAUGGAAGAAAAGACAACAGUAAUAAAAUAAUGUAGAAGAACAUUU